CAGUAUCCCUGGCAACCUUUGGACAAAGAGAGCUCAAGUUAACUGCUGCAGUGCCAUAACAGAUACAACAGGAGACCAUAAAUUAAAUGGCAUUCCUAUCCAGAAGGACUAGAUGACUGCCAUACUCCAAGGGGGAGGAGGUGUGUUACUGGCCCUUUUUUACUCCAGAAUCGCAGAGUGAGAACAGCCAAGAUUACAUAGUUUUCUGGAUCGUCUGCCAACACCAGCCGCUUGCAACCAGAGCUUGGAGACAGCAGGGCUCCCGCCGGUUGUCAGUGGGGGAUAACCACAAUGCACCAUGCACUCACGUGGUGCAUUAUGGGAUUUCCAGGGACCAGGGUGACACAUCCCACCCCCACUGACCCUCUGUACUGCCAGAAGAGGCAGUUGAAUGUUUGGAUGCACAAUCUCUGGGCCCAGACCCAGAAAACCAAUCGCCUGUGGGUGAGCAUUUUCUUCUCUGCCUUCAUUCUUCGCAUGAGUGCCGACUCAUGAUCCAGAGUUAAUUGGAGCAACUUCUUGAUUAUUGCAGUAGCUAAACAGCACGUGGGUGAGCACUGUAGAGAAGUACAACUCUCAUAAACCUGCUUAUUGAUUUUGCUGUUGGCCAGAACAAACGUAAUGAGCCCCUAAGCUUUCUCGUAUGUGGGGAACAUUAUCUGAGGCAGUAUUGCAAAGUAUGUAAAUGAACUUGAAUUCUUCCUUUGUCUCUUGUCUUCUCUGACUUGCUGAUGGAAAGGGAUUUAGGUCACUAUAUAUUUGUCACAAUAUGAAUAAUACUACUUUGAGAAAUCAGAGUAUACAUUGUGUAAGCCCAAAUCCAU